rnacentral:rRNA from 1 species
GACGAACGCUGGCGGCGUGCCUAAUACAUGCAAGUAGAACGCUGAAGGAAGGAGCUUGCUCUUUCCGGAUGAGUUGCGAACGGGUGAGUAACGCGUAGGUAACCUGCCUGGUAGCGGGGGAUAACUAUUGGAAACGAUAGCUAAUACCGCAUGACAACAGUUAUUGCAUGAUAGCUGUUUAAAAGGGGCAACUGCUCCACUACCAGAUGGACCUGCGUUGUAUUAGCUAGUUGGUGAGGUAACGGCUCACCAAGGCGACGAUACAUAGCCGACCUGAGAGGGUGAUCGGCCACACUGGGACUGAGACACGGCCCAGACUCCUACGGGAGGCAGCAGUAGGGAAUCUUCGGCAAUGGACGGAAGUCUGACCGAGCAACGCCGCGUGAGUGAAGAAGAUUUUCGGAUCGUAAAGCUCUGUUGUAAGAGAAGAACGAGUGUGAGAGUGGAAAGUUCACACUGUGACGGUAUCUUACCAGAAAGGGACGGCUAACUACGUGCCAGCAGCCGCGGUAAUACGUAGGUCCCGAGCGUUGUCCGGAUUUAUUGGGCGUAAAGCGAGCGCAGGCGGUUAGAUAAGUCUGAAGUUAAAGGCUGUGGCUUAACCAUAGUACGCUUUGGAAACUGUUUAACUUGAGUGCAAGAGGGGAGAGUGGAAUUCCAUGUGUAGCGGUGAAAUGCGUAGAUAUAUGGAGGAACACCGGUGGCGAAAGCGGCUCUCUGGCUUGUAACUGACGCUGAGGCUCGAAAGCGUGGGGAGCAAACAGG